GCGUACGGGUGCGAAACACGUGUGCACUGCCUUUAUCUGGGGGAUAGCCUUUCGAAAGGAAGAUUAAUACCCCAUAAUAUGUUGAAUGGCAUCAUUCGACAUUGAAAACUCCGGUGGAUAGAGAUGGGCACGCGCAAGAUUAGAUAGUUGGUGAGGUAACGGUUCACCAAGUCUACGAUCUUUAGGGGGGCCUGAGAGGGUGAUCCCCCACACUGGUACUGAGACACGGACCAGACUCCUACGGGAGGCAGCAGUGAGGAAUAUUGGACAAUGGGUGAGAGCCUGAUCCAGCCAUCCCGCGUGAAGGACGAUUGCCUAUGGGUCUGUAAACUUCUUUUGUCAUCAGGGAUAAGCCUACCCUCGUGAGGGUAGCUGAAGGUACUAUACGAAUAAGCACCGGUUAACUCCCGUGCCAGCAGCCUGGGGUUAAUACGGAGGGUUGCGAGCUGUUAAUCCNGGAUCAACUCUGGGGGUCUUCAAAGGGGGUCCGUAAUGGCGGACUCUGUAAGUCCAAGUGGGUCGAAAAUNUNUGCACAAGAUCUUUAACCUCGUGCAAAAAACUUUGGCGCCCCAUUUGGNUUAACCUUCGGCGCAAGGGUC
rnacentral:rRNA from 1 species